UACGAAGGGGGCUAGCGUUGCUCGGAAUCACUGGGCGUAAAGGGUGCGUAGGCGGGUCUUUAAGUCAGGGGUGAAAUCCUGGAGCUCAACUCCAGAACUGCCUUUGAUACUGAGGAUCUUGAGUUCGGGAGAGGUGAGUGGAACUGCGAGUGUAGAGGUGAAAUUCGUAGAUAUUAGGAAGAACACCAGUGGCGAAGGCGGCUCACUGGCCCGGUACUGACGCUGAGGUGCGAAAGCGUGGGGAGCAAACAGG
rnacentral:rRNA from 1 species